AAUACAGUUGCUGGGUGAUAUAAUAGUUGCAAAUUUAAUUUUUGAGAAAACUAUCACACUAUUCCAGAGUGAUUGUGCCAUUUCACAUUCCCACCAGCAGC
rnacentral:pre_miRNA from 1 species